rnacentral:lncRNA from 1 species
UUGUUUUAUUUUUAGCUCACCUGGCCCGAAGGGCCAAGUGAGCUUUUCCCAUCACUUUGCGUCCGGCGUCCGUCGUCCGUCGUCGUCGUCCGUCGUCGUUAACUUUUACAAAAAUCUUCUCCUCUGAAACUACUGGGCCAAAUUAAACCAAACUUGGUCACAAUCAUCAUUGGGGUAUCUAGUUUAAAAAAUGUGUGGCGUGACCCGGCCAACCAACCAAGAUGGCCGCCAUGGCUAAAAAUAGAACAUAGGGGUAAAAUGCAGUUUUUGGCUUAUAACUCAAAAAUCCAAAGCAUUUAGAGCAAAUCUGACAUGGGGUAAAAUUGAUUAUCAGGUCAAGAUCUAUCUGCCCUGAAAUUUUCAGAUGAAUCGGGCAACCCGUUGUUGGGUUGCUGCCCCUGAAUUGGUAAUUUUAAGGAAAUUUUGCUGUUUUUGGUUAUUAUCUUGAAUAUUAUUAUAGAUAAAGAUAAACUGUAAACAGCAAUAAUGUUCAGCAAAGUAAGAUUUACAAAUAAGUCAACAUGACUGAAAUGGUCAGUUGACCCCUUUAGGAGUUAUUGCCCUUUAUAGUCAAUUUUUAACCAUUUUUCGUAAAUCUUAGUAAUCUUUUACAAAAAUCUUCUUCUCUGAAACUACUGGGCCAAAUU